rnacentral:ribozyme from 1 species
GAAAUAAUAUAUUAAGAAAAUUAAAAAAAAAAAAAAAAAAAAAAAAAAAAAUCGUAAAAAGGAAGUGCAAGUUUUUUUUUUUUUCCAUAGUAACUUUACUUGGUUUUUU